rnacentral:tRNA from 1 species
AGGGAUGUGGCUCAGAGUGGCAGAGCACAUGCCUAGCAUGCAUGAGGCCCUGGUUCAAUCCCCAGCACUG